UAUUCCUACGGGACGCAGCAGUGGGGGAUAUUGCACAAUGGGGGGAACCCUGAUGCAGCGACGCCGCGUGGGUGAAGAAGUAUUUCGGUAUGUAAAGCCCUAUCGGCAGGGAAGAAAUUGGACGGUACCUGACUAAGAAGCCCCGGCUAACUACGUGCCAGCAGCCGCGGUAAUACGUAGGGGGCAAGCGUUAUCCGGAUUCAUUGGGUGUAAAGGGUGCGUAGACGGGCAUGCAAGCCUGGUGGGAAAGCCCGGGGCCCAACCC
rnacentral:rRNA from 1 species